rnacentral:rRNA from 1 species
GGCGUGGAUAGGCUGCAGUCGAACGGGCUUUAACGGGUGGUAACAUCUGUUAAGGCUAGUGGCGAACGGGUGAGUAACACGUGGGCAAUCUGCCUCGAAGUGGGGGAUAACAUCGGGAAACCGGUGCUAAUACCGCGUAAUAUCCAGGGAUCGCAUGUUUCCUGGAUCAAAGGUGGGGAUCUUUCGGGACCUACCGCUUUGAGAGGAGCCCGCGGUCGAUUAGCUUGUUGGUGAGGUAAUGGCUCACCAAGGCAAUGAUCGAUAGCCGACCUGAGAGGGUGACCGGCCACACUGGGACUGAGAUACGGCCCASACUCCUACGGGGGGCAGCAGUCUAGAAGCUUCGGCAAUGGGGGAAACCCUGACCGASCGACGCCGCGUGCAGGAUGAAGGUCUUCGGAUCGUAAACUGCUUUCGCUGGGGGAGAAAUGCCUGGAGGUGAAUAAUCUUCAGGUUAGACGGUACCCAGUAAAGAAGCCCCGGCUAAGUCCGUGCCAGCAGCCGCGGUAAUACGGGCGGGGCGAGCGUUGUUCGGAUUCAUUGGGUGUAAAGGGUGCGAA